CCAGACUGCAGCUAGAGCCCAUCAUCAUCCUCAUCUGGUUGUAAGUAGGCAAUCUAGUAUAUUAUUCGUGGCACUAAGCUCUAAUUUACCUCACAUUAAAGAAACACUAUAGUCCCCAGAACCACUUCAGCGUAGUGGUUCUGGUGUCUAUAGCCUGUCCCUGCAGGCCUUUUAAUGUAAACACGGCGUCACUGCAGCACUGGCGUUAGUUAACAUGGCAAAUCAUAUGGCUGGGGCAUUGUGAUGUCACAUGGGGGGCGGCAAACUUUACCUUUGCCUAGGGCGGCAAAAAUCCUUGUACCGGCCCUGGCUGGAGGGGGCUGUGUGAGCUGUGGCCGCACAGUGUCCCAUGGUAGUUAGGGUGCCGUGCGGCCAGCACAGCUCACUCAAGCAAACAGCUGAUAAACUGGCCGCACGGAGGAAAUGUGUAUGUGUGACUGUCUGCCUGUGACUGUGUGUGACUGUCUGCCUGUGACUGUGUGUGACUGUCUGCCUGUAACUGAGUGUGUGACUGUCUGCCUGUAAAUGUGUGUGUGGGGCUGCAGGGAUUUUGUAGAAGGGGUAGGGGGUUUUGUAUUGGGACAGGAGUCUUUAUAAGGGGGGAUAAGCAGGUGAUUUGUGGAAGGGGGUUGCGGGGGUUUUGCAGAUGGGGCAGUACAGGAUUUGUAGAAGGGGCAGAGGUUUUGUAGGAGGGGCAGGGCAGGACAAGGGUUUUGUAGGAGGGGCUGACAGCGGUUUUGCAAAGUUUACAAAUUGUAAAAAUAAAAGAAAUAAAACCUUUAACAUUUUUUACAGGUUUUUUUGGGUGGAACCGUUAGUAAUGUGCAGUGUAUGAAUGUAUGACAGAGCUCCACAGCAAUGUACCCCGUAGUAAUGUGCAGUGUAUGACAGAGCUCCACAGCAAUGUAACCCUUAGUACUGUGCAGUGUAUGAGUGUAUCACAGAGCUCCACAGCAAUGUAACCCUUAGUACUGUGCAGUGUAUGAGUGUAUCACAGAGCUCCACAGCAAUGUAACACUUAGUAAUGUGCAGUGUAUGACAGAACUCCACAACAAUGUAACACUUGGUAAUGUGCAGUGUAUGACAGAACUCCACAGCAAUGUAACCCUUAGUAAUGUGCAGUGUAUGACAGAACUCCACAGCAAUGUGACCCAUAGUAAUGUGCAGUGUAUGACAGAACUCCACAGCAAUGUAACCUUUAGUAAUGUGCAGUGUAUGAGUGUAUGGCAGAGCUCCACAGCAAUGUGACCCAUAGUAAUGUGCAGUGUAUGACAGAGCUCCACAGUCAGUGACUGAAAUUAAGCAGCAUACUAAAAAAAGAGUAACAAAAUUAUCUAUAUGUAUAAUUCAUUUCUCCCCACAUCUUACACUGACGAGCCAUAACUUUAAAAACACCGACCUAAUAUUAUGUAGGUCCCCCUCGUGCUGCCAAUACAGCUUUAAUGUAUCAAGACAUGGACUCAACAAGAACUCUGAACGUGUCCUGUGGGAUCUGACAUCAAAACGUUAGCAGCAGAUCCAGUGGAAGAGGUCACUGCCAUCGGGGAAUACCAUUGCUAUGAAGGUGUGUACAUGGUCUGCAACAAUCUCUAGGUAGAUGUUAAGCAUCAAAGUAAUAUCCAAUGGCAGAACCCAAGGUUUCCCAGCAGAACAUUGCCUAGUGCAUAACACUGCCUCCGCCGGCCUGCCUUCUUCCUACUGCCAUCCACCUGAUCUAAAAGAAAAUAUUGCUCCAUGGUCCAGUUCUGAUGCUCACAUCCUCAUUGACUGCAUUUUUAGCAGUGGACAUGGGCCAUCAUGGGCACUCUAACUGGCCUGUGGCUACGCAGCCCCAUACGCAGCAAACUGUGAUGCACUGGGUGUUCUAAUACCUUUAUGUCAUGGCCACCAUUAAGUUUUUUAGCAAUUUGAGCUACAGUAUCUCUUCUGUGUGAUCGUAACAGACAAGCUAGCCUUUGCUUCCUACGUGCAUCACUGGGCCUUGGACAACUAUAUGCUGACGUAAGUUCACCGGUUGACCUUCCUUGCACCACUUUUGGUAGGUACUAACCACUAUACACCAAGAACACCCCACAAUACUUUCUAUUUUGGUGAUGUUCUCACUCUGUUGUCUAGCUGUCACUAUUUGGCCCUUGUCAAAGUCACUCAGAUCUUUUCUGUUGUCCAUUUUUCCUGUUUCCAACACAAGAAAUUCAAGAACUGACUCUUCACUUGCUGUCUAAUACAUCCCACCACAUGACAGGUGACAUUGUACUUAUAUAAUCAAUGUUAUUCACUUGUCAGUAGUUUUAAUGUUGGGGCUGAUCAGUAUAUAUCUUAAUAGUAAUGAUGCUGGCAUGGAUUAUCCCCAAUCAAUCACACAUGGUCAUCCUGACUAUGGUGACCCUGUCAGAACAUGAUUGACACUCCAACACAUUGGAUUCUCUGACAGUGUGGUGACACUGCCAGAAAUUUACAAUCAUUCACAUCUGUUUAGUUGACAAUAUGGUGACCGUAGAAUUACCACAAUCCACCACUUGUCAACAACCUGUCAGAUCUGUAAUACAUUGCUGGGUGCAAUCUCAAGGGGCCCCAUUAGUAGUAACAAAAGACACACAACACCAGUUAUAAAACAAUUUUACUCCACCCAGGUAAAUCUGACAUCUAUUUCUGUAGUGAGAGACCCAAGGAAAUUACUUUAGGUCUCUAUCCCUAUUAUUCCAGAACAUAUAUAUCAACCUGAAAUGGAGGGAUGCCCACCUGCCCCUAUUUCAGGUUAAUUUUAAAUAAUAAAUUAGAUAGAUAUCUAUCUACACCGUAUAUAUUUUCACAUUGCAUACUGAGGGUAUUCUAACGAUUAUUCUUAUUCUUCUAGGAGGACCAGAGCUUGAU
rnacentral:lncRNA from 1 species